GGUAAUGUGGCUUAGUGGUAGAGUGCUUGCCUAGCAUGCAUGAUGCCCUGGGUUCAAUUCCUCAGUACCA
rnacentral:tRNA from 1 species